GAUGAACGCUGGCGGCGUGCCUAACACAUGCAAGUCGAACGGAGUCCAGCCUUUAAGACCUUCGGGUCAAAGAGGGGAAGACUGAGUGGCGGACGGGUGAGUAACACGUGGGCAACCUGGCUCAUAGAGGGGGAUAACAGAGAGAAAUUUCUGCUAAUACCGCAUAAGCACACACUGCCGCAUGGCAGAGGGUGAAAAGAGAAUCGCUAUGAGAUGGACCCGCGUCUGAUUAGCCAGUUGGCAGGGUAAGAGCCUACCAAAGCGACGAUCAGUAGCCGAUCUGAAAGGAUGAACGGCCACAUUGGGACUGAGACACGGCCCAAACUCCUACGGGAGGCAGCAGUGGGGGAUAUUGCACAAUGGGGGGAACCCUGAUGCAGCGACGCCGCGUGAGUGAAGAAGUAUUUCGGUAUGUAAAGCUCUAUCAGCAGGGAAGAUAAUGACAGUACCUGAAUAAGAAGCCCCGGCUAACUACGUG
rnacentral:rRNA from 1 species